rnacentral:rRNA from 1 species
AGACGUCUACAUUAGAUACCCGUGUAGUCCCAGCCGUAAACUAUGCGCGUUAGGUGUAUCGGUGACCACGAGUUACCGAGGUGCCGAAGGGAAACCGUGAAACGUGCCGCCUGGGAAGUACGGUCGCAAGGCUGAAACUUAAAGGAAUUGGCGGGGAGCACCACAACAGGUGGAGCCUGCGGUUUAAUUGGACUCAACGCCGGGAAGCUCACCGGAUAGGACAGCAGAAUGAUUGCCGGGCUGAAGACUCUGCAUGACUAGCUG